rnacentral:rRNA from 1 species
GACGAACGCUGGCGGCGUGCCUAACACAUGCAAGUCGAGCGAGAAAGCUCCUUCGGGAGUUAGUAAAGCGGCGAACGGGUGAGCAACACGUGAGAAUCUACCCUUUAGUGAAGAAUACCCUCGAGAAAUCGAGGCUAAUACUGCAUACGUCCCUUCGGGGAGAAAGAUGGCCUCUUUGCUAUCGCUAAAGGAUGAGCUUGCGUACUAUUAGCUAGUUGGCGGGGUAAAGGCCCACCAAGGCAAUGAUGGUUAACCGGCCUGAGAGGGUGUACGGUCACACUGGAACUUAGACACGGUCCAGACUCCUACGGGAGGCAGCAGUGAGGAAUCUUGCGCAAUGGGCGAAAGCCUGACGCAGCGACGCCGCGUGGAGGAUGACGGUUUUCGGAUUGUAAACUCCUGUUAAGCGGGAAGAAAGCCUUGUUUCUAAUACAAGCAAGGUAUGACGGUACCGCUAGAGAAAGCACCGGCUAACUUCGUGCCAGCAGCCGCGGUAAGGUCGUCAU